GCCUACUAAUGGUACGUUGGUGCAAUACAACCUGUUAACCAACAACCAACAUUAUGACUAAAUAGGUUAUUUGUAGCAAAUAGCCGAUCCCUUACAAGGUGAUCCAGGCUCAGUGUCAAAAUCAAUUAUGUCGAUGUUCGACUCAAAUGAAAACCUUUAGGUUAAUAUUAAUAGACUUAGCAAGAACCUCUUAACGUUGUUGUUUUACAUAAAAGAAAAUAAACCCAUAAAAUUUAAAUUAAUAAAUCAACCCCCAAGCCUAAAUCAAACCGUUCAAUAAGAGAAAAAUAAAAUAAAAUGUGCAAAAACUUGCGUGUCAUCUAAUCUCUUGUGUAUUUUGGCUAAGCUAGCUUAACUCGACAGCUCUGGAACCAGUCAGCUACAACCAGGGUAACGACCACAUGGGCAAGUCGAUUUCAGGCAAGUUUCAAUCCAAAAUCGCAGAGCCACAGUACAAUGCUCAGUCCAGGCUGUGUUGAGGCUCACUUCAGCCGGUUGCCAACAGUGUUGGGAUGACCAGAAGAAACCAGAGAAUAGGAAGAGACCAGAGAACAGAGGAGAGAAUGAGAAAAAGGAGAGGAUGAGAAAAAGGAGAGGCCUCUAAAAUAGAGGACAAAAAAAAAUCAGUAAAAUAAACACACAAUCAAUUCUAUGGCAAUUACCAACAUGUUGCUACAUACCUAAGGUGGUGAGCGAGGCCUAGAGUCUCGUUUUGUGGUUAGAAAAUUUCAAAAUCCCAUAAAUAGUGUGGGAGCAGCCGAUCAAAUCCAAAAAUAUAAGGUCAAUCCGAAAUCCUCUCGGCUACAACUUCCCACUAGACGUUCAUCAAAUUAAACCACAAAACUUGGAAGGAAUAUUUUUCCAUUCAACCGAAUUUUUGGCAAAAUGAACUUAAAUUUUCCUUAAAACCACAAAAUGUCGAAUGUUCUUUCUGAUAACAGGAUGGCUACAGGAUGAACAAGGAACUGACAACUCCCAGACAGUGACAGGUGACACUAGCAGUGAACUUGUCACUCUCUUUCUUCGACACGAUCUGACACUGCCUCUUGGUGUAAACUACGCGGAGCCUCACUCUAUCAAAAUAGAAAUUCCGCAAUACCACAGCAAAAUGAUACUGCUCGGAUACUAAAACAUGGAACUAAACAUGGAACAAAAUUUUCCCAACAUGGCUACGAAAUUCCAAUUUUCCUCUUACGUCGCUCUGCCUGAUUUAUGCCGCUCCGUCAUCCGCCAAAUGGAAACCAAACUUUAAUGGGAAACAGCAACGCUGCCAACCCUCCACAACAACAAGUGUGUCAAUAGUCAUUACUGUCAAUCACAGUCACUGUCAAUCGGCUAGUUUUAUUUACUAAAACGUAACUUGAAGAAUUGAAGGGAAAUAUAGCAAGAAAAACUGGGGAGGCCAAUUUCAAAUCAAUUAGGAUACCUUGCCCAACAUGAUUCCGCUAUAGAAGAAAGUAUUUCGCAAUCUGUGGCACAACAGCACCCUCUAGAAGUCCCUCCAUACCCCAGACAUAUACCGGUCUUAUAGAAACUGUUGACAAACAAACCAAAGGUCAGAAAGUUCCCAACACCAGGUACAUGAAUAGGGACUAAGGAAACAUAAUACAACUAACUCCACCGAGGUGUGCUGACAGGAUAGGGAAGGUUUCUUGCAACUGGAACUACUUAUAAACAUUUGGCACAUGAAUUUAGGAUUGGAUAUUCAACAGUCUCGAUAAUAAUAAAAGAAACAUGUUCAAUUGUUUGGGAAGAACUUGUAGAAACUCACAUGCCAAUUUGCACCCAACAGCAAUUGGAGAAAAUCAUUGACGAAUAUAAUACCCUGUGGAACUUCCCAAAUUGUUUCGGAUCGAUUGACGGGAAGCAUUGUCGUAUUAGAUGUCCACCUAAUAGUGGUACAACCUAUUUUAACUAUUUAAAAUACUAUUCAAUCGGAUUUCAAGGGGUUGCAGAUGCCAACAAAAAAUUUAUUACUAUUGAAGUGGGUUCACGUGGAUCGGAAAGUGAUGGGGGAGUAUUUCAAUCCUCGGCACCUUACAGUUUGUUGGACACCAAUCAAUUCAAUGUACCUCCAGAUCAAGCUCUGCCGAAUUCCAAUAGUGUGCUACCAAAUGUUCUGAUAGGGGAUGAGGCAUAUGCUUUAAAGAAAUAUUUGAUGAGGCCUUAUCCGCGCCUAAGAAAUGCAGUGUUAGAAAAUGAUAAGAAAGUCUUUAACGAUCGCUUAUCACGAGCUCGAAAAUGCAUUGAAAAUGCAUUUGGAAUCUUAUAUCAGAAGUUCCGCAUUUUUGAUACAAACAUUUUACUAAAACGAGAAACCGCUAUAAUUGUAAUCAAAUGCGCGUGCAUCUUACACAACUUAAUUCGUGACUUUGAUGAGAAUUCUGACUUGGAUUAUGUUUAUGUAGAAAAUGCUGCUAAUGCAAGGCAAGGCAAUGUAAAUAAUUUAAAUGUAAAAAACAACAGAGCCUCUAAACUUGCUGCAGGAAUUCGAGAUUCAUUUAAGGACUAUUUUAGUAACAACCCUCUUUAGAUAAGUAAAAAAUUAUUUGAAUUUUUUUUUUAAUUUUAAAAACUAACACAACUAGCGCCAUCUGUCAAAAACAUAAAAACUGUAUGCAUAAUUUUAUUUUUCUUUUUAAAUAAAUUGUGUUCUAAAUUUCAUGUAAAUAUGUCAUUUGGCUCCAGACCUAUGAGAAAAAAGCGAUAGAAUAGAAUAUUAC
rnacentral:lncRNA from 1 species